rnacentral:rRNA from 1 species
AGAGUUUGAUCCUGGCUCAGGACGAACGCUGGCGGCGUGCUUAACACAUGCAAGUCGAACGAGGCCCUCCCUUCGGGGAGGUGUUCUAGUGGCGAACGGGUGAGUAACACGUGGGCAACCUGCCCUCAGCUCUGGGAUAACUCCAAGAAAUUGGGGCUAACACCGGAUAUGACUGCUGACCGCAUGGUCUGGUGGUGGAAAGAUUUAUCGGCUGAGGAUGGGCCCGCGGCCUAUCAGCUUGUUGGUGGGGUAGUGGCCUACCAAGGCGACGACGGGUAGCCGGCCUGAGAGGGUGACCGGCCACACUGGGACUGAGACACGGCCCAGACUCCUACGGGAGGCAGCAGUGGGGAAUAUUGCGCAAUGGGCGGAAGCCUGACGCAGCGACGCCGCGUGGGGGAUGACGGCCUUCGGGUUGUAAACCUCUUUCAGCAGGGACGAAGCGAAAGUGACGGUACCUGCAGAAGAAGCACCGGCCAACUACGUGCCAGCAGCCGCGGUAAUACGUAGGGUGCAAGCGUUGUCCGGAAUUAUUGGGCGUAAAGAGCUCGUAGGCGGUUUGUUGCGUCGGCUGUGAAAACCUGAGGCUCAACCUCAGGCCUGCAGUCGAUACGAGCAGACUAGAGUGUUGCAGGGGAGACUGGAAUUCCUGGUGUAGCGGUGAAAUGCGCAGAUAUCAGGAGGAACACCGGUGGCGAAGGCGGGUCUCUGGGCAACAACUGACGCUGAGGAGCGAAAGCGUGGGGAGCGAACAGGAUUAGAUACCCUAGUAGUCC